UAGGGAAUCUUCCACAAUGGGCGCAAGCCUGAUGGAGCAACACCGCGUGAGUGAAGAAGGGCUUCGGCUCGUAAAGCUCUGUUGUUGGAGAAGAACGUGCGUGAGAGUAACUGUUCACGCAGUGACGGUAUCCAACCAGAAAGUCACGGCUAACUACGUGCCAC
rnacentral:rRNA from 1 species